rnacentral:rRNA from 1 species
UACGUAGGAGGCGAGCGUUAUCCGGAUUUAUUGGGCGUAAAGAGCGCGUAGGCGGGCCGGUAGGUCUUGCGUGAAAGGUGAGGGCUCAACCCUCACACGUCGCACGAUACCGCUGGUCUUGAGGCAGUCAGGGGAUGACGGAAUUCCGCGAGGAGUGGUGAAAUGCGUAGAUACGCGGAGGAACACCGGUGGCGAAGGCGGUCAUCUGGGGCUGUCCUGACGCUGAGGCGCGAAAGCCAGGGGAGCGAACGGGAUUAGAUACCCCGGUAGUCCUGGCCCUAAACGAUGGACACUAGGUGUGGGAGGUAUCGACCCCUUCCGUGCCGGCGCUAACGCAGUAAGUGUCCCGCCUGGGGAGUACGGUCGCAAGACUAAA